rnacentral:lncRNA from 1 species
GCUGAUGCUCAAAUGUAUGCCUCCUGAUUUCUUUUCUAGGAUUUCUAUCUCCAGAGUUGUCUUCCUUUGGGUUUUCUUUAUAGUUUCUACUUCCAUUUUUUUGAUCUUAGAUGGUUUUGUUCAAUUCCAUCACCUGUUUGGUUGUGUUUUCCUGAAAUUCUUUAAGGGAUUUUUGUGUUUCCUCUUCAAGGACUUUUACCUGUUUAGCAGUGUUUUCCUGUAAUUCUUUGAAGGACUUUUGUGCUUCCUCUUUAAGGGCUUCUACAUGUUUAGCAGUGUUCUCCUAUAUUUCUUUAAGUGAGUUAUUAAUGCCCUUCUUAAAAUCCUGUACCAGCAUCAUGAGAUACGGUUUUAAAUCUGAAUCUUGCUUUCCUGGUGUGUUGGGGUAUCCAGGACUAGCUGUGGUGGGCGUACUCUGUUCUGAUGAUGGUGAGUGGUCUUUGUUUCUGUUAGUAAGAUCUUUAUGUUUGCCUUUUGCCAUCUGGUAAUCUCUAGCUGUCUCUGGCUGGAGCUUGUUCCUCCUGUGAUUCUGUUUGCCUCUGUCAGCACUCCUGGGAGUCCAACUCUUUUCUGAGUCCCAGUGGUCAGAGCACUCUCUGCAGGCAAGCUCUCCUCUUGCAGGGAAUGUGCACAGUGUUUUGGGGUUCUGAUCCACCUCCUGGCUGAAAAUGAAGGCCUGAAGGGACCCUGUCCAAGAAACUCUGUUGCUUCUGUGGCCCACAUGCUUUCCUGCGAGGACUGGUCUCUGAGAGACCCGGGAUACAAGAUGGUGCUCUUACUUGUGUCUCAGGGUUAGAGAUCUCUCUGGAGGCCGACUGUCCUCUGGUGGGUGAGAUGCCCAGAGGUCUGGGUCUCAGCUCUGCCUCCUGGCUGAGGAUGAAGGCCAGAAGGAACCUGUCCAAGAAGCUCUGUUGCUUCUGUGGCCUGCAUGCUCUCGUGUGCAGACUGGUCUCUGAGAGACCCGGGAUACAAGAUGGCACUCUCACCUGAGUCCUGGGGUCAAAGCCCUCUCUGGAGGCCGAUUCUCUUCAGUGAUCCUAAGAUCCUGGGUGUGCUAGGGUGCCUUCGGUAUGGAGAGUCCUCUGGGGACCGUGGGACUGUCUGCCAAGUUCAUGUCCAAGGUGAUGCGGGGCUGACUCCGAUCAGAAUGAGCCCCAGCUGCUGGUCAGGCAGGUUUUCUGUGUCCCUGUUCCUGCUGGCACAGGCACCUCCCAGUAGUUUUGGAACAGAUGAUGUGCUUCACUCACCAGUGAUCCCAAGAUCCUGGGUGUGCUAGUGCACCUGCGGCUGGAGGAUCCUCUCCUGAGAUUUAUUAGUUGGUAAUAUUUCUGUGAUAUUUUGUGGUCAGUUACAUUGUAGUCAAUUUCUUUAAGCUCCCUCCUGUUUGCAUGCUAGAACUGCUAUUUCAGGGUGGAAGGAAGAGGCAAUGUCCUUGACCAGUCACAGUGGCUAAGACUUUUCUGGUGAGGAGGUGCAGGAAGGUCCAGGAAACAAGGACUGGCCCUUAAAUACAGGGUUCUCCUUGCUUACAGGGUUGUCACACACAUCCCCUGACCCCUGCCUCCAGGAGAUUGCAAUUGUCACAAAAUGACAACAGGCAGGAACCAUCAGAGAUUAGAUGAAGUCCAGAGUGUCAGAAGCCUGUUAACUAUCCAAAGCAUUACCCUCUUGUCUUAGUCAAUGUUUCCUGCUUUGAAAAGACACCAUGACCCCAGCCACUUUUAUAAAAGAAAGCUUACAGGUUCAGAAGUUUAGUCCAUUAUCAGCAUGAUGGGGAGCACGGUGGCACAUAGGGAAACAUGGAGCUAGAGAAGAAGCUGAGAGUUCAAUGUCCAGAUCUGAAGGCAGCAGGAAGAGAGCGACACCGGGCCUGGUUUGGGCUUUUAAAAAAUCUCAAAACUUGCUCUCAAGGACACACGUUCUCCAACAAGACCUAAGUGCUGCUUCCUGACGACUAAGCUCUCAGAUACGUGAGCCUAUUAGGGCCACUCACAUUCAAACCACCAUACACCCCCAACCCACUCCCCUAUUCCUACCUCUGAGGCCUGCCCAGCCUCUUGCUGGGGGCUCUUUGUCUGUUCUGAUAAAGUACGUGUUUCUUCUUCUUCCUGUUUGUGGCUGGUGCUUCUCUGAUCCUAUUCAAUAUACAACUUGUAGUGUGUCAGCUGCUUCCAGAAUCUGUGAUGGUUCCCUCGUGUCUGAGAGCCUCAAGUUAUUUCCUGCAGCUCUCUUAUGGCUGCUGCUUUCUGUUUCUGUAUCGGGUCUACAAAGGUUACUUUCUAUCAGGGACUCUAAGCUGCCUAUAUCACAUCUCUGGCUCAGAUUACUAGGUGUCACAGUUCAUCUGUGGCCCCUUCCUCUCUCCGCUGUCACUUCUCUUUUCUGUCUGAGUGUAUCUUCUUUCCUGGACGUACAAUUUUCUGGCCAUUUCAUGGAAUGAACCUGGUGGUACCUCUAGAUGACCACAUUCAGUCAAUGCCCUGUGACAGAAGGCGAGAUAGAGUCUGGACAAAUAGACACAGACAAUUGAGGGUCUACAGGUGGCUGUGAUCAUUUUAGUUUAUACUAUUUUAAGAACCAGUGGCCCUUGUGAUCAAGACCAAUAGCUUUCAGCAAAUCCAGCCACAUCUUUUCUGCUCCGUGAAUAGAACAGAGGAUGGUGGGGAUUCAUAUGUGAUAGUCUACCACAUAUGAACUGUGGUAGACUUCUAGAUCAUGGGGAAGGCUCGGGGCAAUGAGGACCUAGAUCGUGGGAAUUCCAUGAGAGUGUUGACCUCCACCAUCCGUGCUUGCUUUGGCCAUAUGACUGACCCUUGCAUCAGACAGGGACAGAUCUAUGCUGGAAAAACUGAGCAGCACCAUGUCAGAUAAGAAUGUUCCAUGAACUGCAUGUCUUAAUUUUGCAAUUACAUUUAUAGCCUCAUUACAACACAAGCUGCUCUUUGAGAGCAGAGUGUACUCAUCAGAGGGAGUUGUUCCCUUCCAAGUUCUCUGAGUGAGACUGUGGUAGGAAAACCAUGCUGAGAAGCCAGAGCAGGCCUCUCCCCUCUGCCAGGGUUCCAGGCAUGUUCUUCAGAUGCCGAUUUCGAUUUCCAUUCCUUUUAUGCAGGCAGGGUUCUGGAGACAAAAUGUCUAACUGUGAUUCACUUUUGGAAAUUCUCACCUUUUUAAAUUGCUGAUGUGGAUUAUGAAAGUGAAAGAAUGUUGAUGGUAGCCCAGGGCCAAAGAGUCUUUCAAUUAUUCUUCCCUUCUUCCAGCCCUAGCUGGCUGAGGCACAGAAAAAGUCUGCUGUCAGCUCUCUGGAAAUGUGUGCCCCAAAUGAAUAGAUGGUUCUAAGAUGGAUUCUCUGGGACAAGAUCUUGCUCUGCUCUCUAUAAUGGCCAAAGGCUGGAGUUCAUUUGCAGAGGAAGUGAGUAUCAGAUUUGACUGACAUGCCUUCUCCAUCUCAGCUACAAAGACCCUGGCUAGUGAAGGAUCUAUCCAAAGCCCAUAACUAAGAAGGAACAAGAGAAAAAUUCCUUGGAAAACUGAAGCCUGAAGCUCUGAACUGAAUAUAGCACAUCGCCUAUUAAUUGAAAGGAUAAAAUUAAAUGAAGACGUGACUGCUCCCAACGCAUGGGCCAAGGAGGAGGGUUUUUUGUAGUUAUAAUGGAGAGAAUGCAAGUGACAUCUGGAAGGGUCUGGAUUGAAUCAGGCCAUUAAAGGAUAGAGAUGAGGAGAGGGAAGGAGGAGGGGGAGGGGAGAAAGGAACCAGGAGCCAAGAGGAGGAGAGAGCCAGGAGACCAAGUGAUGAUGGCUGAAGAAAGAGAAGCUGGGGGAAGGGCCAGUCACUGAUGUGGGAGCCACCUGGAGGCUAGGUCCUCACUCACUUUGAUAUGUUAAGUGGGUACCUCAGUUAGUCUUGUCUGGGGUUUCUUUAAGGCUGUACUCCUAUGAGAUAGCACACUUGCAUUACAGGAGUUUCCUCUCUACACUUGUUCUUUCACCUCACCUACUAAGUUCCCAAGAGAAGAGAAAUACAGCAAACUAAAAUACACUUUCUGAGGUAGCGACUGUUGCCAUGAGAGCCUUUCUAUUGUAAUGUUAAUGAACAUUGCAUCCAUUUUUAAAAUAUAGUAUUUUUAUUAAUUCUCUGAGAAUUUUACAGACAUAUAAUGUAUUUUUUAAUCAAGUUCACCAUUCUCCCAGGUCCACCUUUACAUUCCCACAUCCCCUUCCAAAUCCAUGUCUUCUAUUUUGUUUUUUGUUUUAAUAUAACCCAUUGAGACUAAUUUGUGAUACUCACAUUACAUACUUAUGGGUGUGGGGUCAUCUACUGGAUGGUCAUCUAUGAGAUCUGUUGGAUCAUCUACUGCUCAGUUGACCUACAGUGGGACAUCCUCAUAAAGAAAGCUGGUUCCUUCUCCCUCAACAGCCAUUGACUGUCAAUAGCUCCUCAGCCAGGGGUAGGAAUGGGCCUCCCAGCAACUAGUAAACACAGGCAGGUGGGCCUUCCACACUGCCUCAGGUCCCCAGUCAAGGAAAGCCUUGUGGAGAAAACCUUCUCCAAGCAUUGCAGACAAGGUUGUAGUUGGCAGCCAGGGGCCCCAUCCAGGGAAUUCUGGCGGGAAAUAGACUUCUGAACUCUUGUUUGGAAGAGCACACUGAGUUACUCCUUUCAAUUCCUGAGAGGAAUGAGUCUCCCACCUCCUAUAGUGAGUCUCCCUCUCCACCUUGAAAGAGGGAUUAAAAUCAUGAUUUUCUGACUCUUAAGAAAUACUGACCAAGGUCAUUGGCACCUUCCAUUUCAUGUCAUAUUUCUCUUUCAUACUCUUCUCCCUCUUUUCUCCUUUCCCUGUUUUAUGAUUUAUGUGUUUAAAAACUAUGACCUACAAUCUCCCACCAAUGUGAGGCUCUGAGACAAGAGAUAUUAGCACUGGAAUUGAUGGGCAUGGCUCAAUCAAACAGAUGUAAAACUAGAGGGUGGUGCAAAGACAAAGCAGUGGACAUCAUGCUCCUGGAUUUGAGAACUAUCUUGAAAUAGAAACCAUAUAGACAUUAAGGAUCUUAAUUUAAAAAAGCAAGGAAGAAGACUGAUCGCUCAGCUUCUCAGUGCCUUAAGGCAUCGUUUAAAACACCUUAAAUGCAUCUCUGUGCAUCCAAAGCACUGAAGCACAAAGGACUUUCCAAGCUAUUACACUAAACAGUCACUUUUCCCUCUGCUCUGGGAACAUGAAACAACACAGACUUGAGUGGAGCUGAGCUCAGGAUCUCUCAGGGGAGGCCAGUGCCGUGCUGAGGAGAGAUUUGACACCUGUACCACGGUGGCUUAGCAUCAUGCAGCCGGAUGAACACUUGGUGUAGGCGUUUGUUAACCAAUGCAGCUCAUAGGUGGAUGUGACACCAGUGUCUGUAGUCCAAGUACCCAGAGGCUGAGGCAGGUGCUCCAUGGCUAAAUACUGAGUUCCAGGACAGCCUGAGAUAAGAAGCAAAAGCCUGAUUUAAACAAACAAAAUCUCCAUCAAGGCUUCCAGUGGUUUCCAGUGAGAAGACAACGCGGGAUCCUUCCAGGAAAACAGGACGUCAGUUCUCCAGUCUAACAUCCAGCAAGUUGAAACUUGUAUUAAACUAGAUUUCUCUUGCUGACACUACCAAAUUUAUAUUUGUUUAUUU